GGCUCUGUAGUGUAGCGGUUAUCACGGCGGAUUCUGAUUCCGUCAACCCAGGUUCGAGCCCUGGCAGGGCCU
rnacentral:tRNA from 1 species